rnacentral:lncRNA from 1 species
UGUGUAAAAAAAAAAAAAACUUUCAUUGAGCAUGUUCAUGUAGCAGACUUGUUUUGUUUUCAUCUUUUCUUUUGUCCAUUGUGGUGUCGUUUUAUUUUCAACAUUGUAGGAUCUAAGAUUUCGUUCUUUCCUUCCUUGUUUCAGCAGUAACAUAUUUCCUCUAGGUACUGGAGUGGAGUCAGACUUUUUGUAUUUUAGGAUAAAAAAUUAUAAUGUAAUUUUUUUUUUUUUUAAAACAAUAUAACAUUAAUGAAAAUAAGUCAAUACAUUACUAUUGUUGUAUUUACGCAAUUCCAUACUUUGAAAGUUGAGUUUUCUUGCCCAAAAUACCACCCGAACAUAAUUAGGUGCGUAUGAGCAUCUUAAGGAUGCUCGAGCAAAACUCAAGCGCUCUAAGGACAAUAUGUUUCAGUAAUUCGCGCU